rnacentral:snRNA from 1 species
GGAAACGAGCCAUCUGGCAUAGACAUCUGCCAUAACAUUGACCUUCAGGGUAUCUUGGCUGCUCUGCCUGACCCGGCAGGUGCCUACAACUUUCUUCAUAACUCUUAGUUGUUCUUCCACAUUGGCCACCUUUUCUCAUAUAGAAGAGAGUGUUUUUAAUUAAGGUUAUAGGAACAUGAAUGUAACUUUUUAGAACCUCUAAAAUCAGAUUUAAAAGACCAUAAAAAGUGCAAUUAUUUUCACUUAUUUCCAGAAAAUUCACUAUAGAUAGUAAUUUUUCACU